UGGGGAAUUUUGGACAAUGGGGGAAACCCUGAUCCAGCCAUCCCGCGUGUGCGAUGAAGGCCUUCGGGUUGUAAAGCACUUUUGGCAGGAAAGAAACGUCAUGGGUUAAUACCCCGUGAAACUGACGGUACCUGCAGAAUAAGCACCGGCUAACUACGUGCCAGCAGCCGCGGUAAUACGUAGGGUGCAAGCGUUAAUCGGAAUUACUGGGCGUAAAGCGCGCGCAGGCGGUUCGGAAGGAAAGAUGUGAAAUCCCAGAGCUCAACUUUGGAACUGCAUUUUUAACUACCGGGCUAGAGUGUGUCAGAGGGAGGUGGAAUUCCGCGUGUAGCAGUGAAAUGCGUAGAUAUGCGGAGGAACACCGAUGGCGAAGGCAGCCUCCUGGGAUAACACUGACGCUCAUGCACGAAAGCGUGGGGAGCAAACAGG
rnacentral:rRNA from 1 species